AAAAGAGAAAAAAUAAAUUAACUACAAUAACUGGCAGAAGUUUUUAUAUUCAUCUAUCUUUUGACACAAAUGCCAAUGGAAAUUACUGGGAUUUUAUGUGGUAGAAUUUUUUUGCAAAUUCUUCAUCGGUUUUGAUACAGAUUCUCAAUUAGAUCUGUAUUUUUGAAAAGGACAUUUUACCCUAUUAAUAUGCUUUAAUCUAAAAUUCCCCUUUGUAACUCCGGUACUCCAGUUUUUAAGCACUUCUUAAUUUAGCAGCAUUGCCUGUAUUUAUAAGAACUUAUAUUUUCAUUCACCAUGCUGUAUUCCCUCAGCAUGAUGCUGUCACCACUAUAUUUCACCAUGGAGAUAUGUUUUUGGUAAUGUGAAGUAUUUUCUCCAACACAUAUUUUGCAUUUAGGCAUUUACCAUGUCCCCUAUAAGUGCUGUGGUAAAUUUGAAAGAAGACACCUCGUGGUUUUCUUUAACCUCUCCGGACCGAAAGUAGCGCCGACGAUCCAGCAAAAUUUGCAGUACCGUAAUUCUGUCACACUUUGCACAAUCUGAAAAAUCCCAACAGUUUCUGAAAGGGGAGACGUUGCGUAGCCAAUCUCGGGUUAUUACGGUAGCAGAGAGUGACAUUAACCUGAGGGGGAGUUCCAGUAGCUACGAAUAAAUUGACAAAUAUAUUUACUCAUAAGACAUUUAAAGAACUUGGUACAAUUAAAAAAAGCAAAAAUUUCCAGGCGGAGAUUUGAAACUUAGAUCAUAAAGGGGUAAAGACGGGUUUUCUUGUUUUCAUUUGAAGCCAUACUCUUUCCCUUUGAUGGAUUGCAGAAUGCUCCAUAAAAAGGCAUGAGAUACUGUUUUUUAACUUCACCCAAUUUAAACUUCAUCACAACUUCAUGGCUGAUCUGUCUGGUUUGUUUAUUAAUCUUCAUGCAGCUGUUUGCUCACUAACAAUCUCUAAAAAAUUACACAAUUUGGCAAUUGUUAGUAUUGCUGCCUUGCAGCAAGAUGGUGCUGCGUUCAAGCCAAAUCAGGGGGCCUUUAUCUAUGGAGCUGGCUUUCAGAAAAUGAAGGAAGAAUCAAUUCAAUUAGGCAAUUUCUGAAGGCACUGGACUUUAUUUAGAGACAUGACAGUAAGUGGGACUGAAUACAAAUGUAUCUACUACUUUUUAAAGAUUUAUUUGGAAAGAAUAUUAUUAACCUUCUAAUUCACAAUUAUGCACUUAAAAUGCCCUUAAGUUUCUGAUUGCAAAGUAAUUUAAUGUGACAAAAAAAGGAACUUAGGAAAAAAAGGAAUUUAAAAAAUUGUUCUGCCUAUAAGAAGAUGCACGUCGGCUCUACUGUCCUAACACUCUUAUCGAAGCUUUACCGUCAUUAUUUCAUUCUUCAACAGCCACUUAUGGCCUCGUUCAUCAAAGCAAAGGGCAUCAAGCAGCUCUAUUAGCCAUUAGCGAUGUGACUGACAGGCCCUCAUAGUGCUCACAAAUCAUGGACAAGCUUGUCCAGAGUAAAUGACAGGUUGGGAGGCCCCUGCCAGCCUGGAGUCUGGACCAGGGCCCCGUGUACCCUGCAAUUUACCCCCUCCGGACAGGGAGGGAGGGGUGACAGGAGAAAAGAUGAGGUACAUGACAGGAGAAAUGAAGCUGUCAUUUAAAUGUCAGCUAAAACAAAAAGAGGGCAGAGGGAAUAUAGAAAGGCAGACUUGACAAUGGAGACAAAAGAAAAAUCUAUGACCUCUAUUUCUAAGAAGGAUAAAAUCUGGAGAAAGUGAGCACCAUUCACCCAUGGAACACAUGGUUCCUUACAUAUUCUGCGAAUCUGACACACAGUUGGGUUUCUUGUAACAAUCCAAAUCUUCAGAAGUAGCAUUUUAUUCCAAUGUCCACAAAGGUUCCUCAUCAGAUUAGAGAAGUGACUGGUGCAACAAACAAAUAAAACCAACUUAGCAAACCUACUGAUUGUUUAAAGCUUCAGAAGAUCCCCAUUUGAGCUGUAAUGCUUUGGGUGACUAGGCCGCAGAGAGUACUCCAGGACAUUUCCGUUGUACCCAAUCAGAUAAGUUAAAACUGCCCUCAAACACAACUCAGAUUAAGUGCUGCCAAAAAGAGCUAGCUUAACUGAUUGCAGCCCAUAAUUGGACACUGUCCGGGUAAGCUUCUACAGUGGCGCUUUAAUCGGGCUUAAGGAGACACGACCCUCUGUGGUUUCAGAGGUUUUAGUCUUUUAUACAGCGGCUGCAGGUAUGCCAACCACUAUGCAUGGCUUCAGGGCAGGAUUGAAUUCUUCCUCAGCUGAUACUAUCUGAGCAAAACACAACCUUAAACAGGCAGCACAAAAAAAAAAAAUCAUAUCUCUUAAAGUUUUUCCACAUUUGUCAAGUUACAACCACAAGAAUCAGUUUAUUUUAUUCAGGCUGUAUAUGAGGCUAACAUAGUUACAGUAAAGUGUGAGCAAAAUGGUCCUUGGUUUUUAAGGAUAUUUUAAAGUAAUAGCAUAUAUUUGUUUUCAGCCUCCUCUACUGAUAGCCCUAAAUAAAGUCUUUUGCAAUCAAAUCAUCCUGAAUAGUAAAAUAAGCUGGUGCGCAGUUUUAAUCUCAGCGUAAAUACAAGUUGAUCUGUGAAGAUGUUGGAGGUUUUGAAGGAAAAAAACAAGCAACAAGCAACACAGCAAAUAUGCCGGUUUGGAUUCUACAAUGAUAUCCAGAGAGCUGAACAUUUAAUAUCAAAUGUGAUGUUGAAUCUAUUACCUGAAAUAUAAAAGCACAAAGUAUCAAAAGAUGGUUAUAGGCCAGAAAAGAAAAACAUUAACCAGUCUGAUUCACUGCUUAUUUUGGAGAAUCUGUUGUCCGAUUACUUGAAAACUCUGUCCAUAAGAAGAACAAACCUAAAUCAAACUGAGAAGCGAUUCUCAGUCUGGCUCAGCUCCAGGAAAUCUGGAAAAAAAAGUGUCUCUACAUGCAGAUCAUGGUAGAGACUUACAAAAACCUCGUAGAUGUUUUUAUAGUCAAAGGUGGUUCUACAAAGUACUGACUGAAUGCAAAUGCUUCAGAUCUGCAUUUGUAUGCAACUUAGAAUUCCUACUUUUCGUCUAAAUUCCCAAUAACAACUUUGCGUUGCUGUAUCACAUAACAAGCAAGCAAAUGAAUGAGGUUUUCUGGUUGCAAUAUGACAAAUGGUGGAAAAUUUCCAGGUUUCUUAAUACUUUAUUAAACAAAACUGUAAAUAAAUUGAUAAAAUAUUUCAAACAAGAAAAGUUUUCUGUGUCGACGUGUUCAGCUGCAGUCUUUGUGGAGAUCUGCAGCAGUUUGACACUUUAGGAGAUGAAGAAGUCGUCUCUGUCGGCUUCUGAGUCCCUCAUCGGAGCACAAGUCAGAGGUUUGACAACAUCGUGACAGCUAGUUGGACACACAGGUUGUCGAAUGUUUUGUAGCACAGUGACAAGAUUCUUGACAAACCAUUUGAGUCCCAUCUGCCUCUCUGACCCUGCACAAAUAAAUAUGACCCAAACACAAAUAAGUAUGACAUGUCCCCCCGUUCAAUCCCUCCCAUCAUCUAUUGUGCUCACACAACUGCCACUCCAGAAGAGGCCAACCUAUGCGCUCAAUGGUAGUUAUUCAACCACUUGGGCACCUUGUGCUCCACCUCUUCCUAUUGCUCGCAAAGAGGAAACAGCUUUGAUCUUUUGUUCAGCCGACGGGGAGAAAAGUGGGUUUCCCAUUUUCCAAUUUCUACCUGCCACAUUGUGCCGCGGUCACACUCUGCCGGCCAGUCAAUUUGCCAAUCACAGCGCAUUGCGAGGUGCGGGGAAAGAGGAGUCCGUGUGUGUCCUCGUGGGCGCAUCUUUGCAAAGUUAGGACUGCACACUGGCCUUGUUUAUCGGCUGCGGUAACACAUGUAGAGACCUAACAAAGGAGCUUUAAGAGUUGAUGGUUAAUACCGCAGAUAAACAUUGUGGGCAAAUACGCAAUCAACUGUGUAUUUAUGUGUAUCCAGUGGAGCAUUGACAAAUACAUCCUCUUCUCAGUGUACUGUAUGCAUUUUUUCUAGCGUACAGAUGACUGGAAAUCACUACGACAUCUUAAUUCCUGGUGAACGAAAGGAAAAGAUGUCUCCUGAGGAGUUUGUCAUUCAGCCCGAUUUUAUGGAAGCAGCAGAGCGAGACGUUUAAAGCACUCAUGUAAAAUAACUGCAAAGUGCAUGAAAGCCCUAGAUGUAGAAAAGGAAUACUGACAAAAAAAAUAAAUACUACGCAUCCUGAACACUUACUGGCACCUAAGGUAAAGACGGGUAAAAAGCCACAUUGAAAAAAAAAA